CUCAAAACCGUAACUCCCAAAUCUGUCCAAGUUUUGUUCAUGGCUAUUUUCAUAGCUUCCGCAAUCUCUCUCAACUUCGUAGCCAUAAAACCCCUCACUAUAAUCAUAGUCUCCCAUGUUGUAGUCAUAAUAAUCCCAGCUAUCGAAGACAUGUUCCCCUUCUAUCACCUUUGUACCUACACAAUGAACAAACAAGAUUAGUAGUAAAAGCUUCUCACUAACACUCGUAUACACUCACCUUUGUGAUUCUCACAAUUGGAGUGGCGAAUAUUGAAAGUUGCUUAUAAUUCGGUAGUCAAUAGGAUGUCAAUUCUACUUGGCGGCCGAAAUAGAUUCUUGUUUGAUCGACUCAAGACACAAAAAUAAAAUUUACCUACGAACUUGAAACAAAGAAGUUACUACUAGUUAAAAACAAGAAAAAGCACACAAAUAACGAAGACAUGAAACAAACGGACUCUACAACUAACUUACAAUCUAGUAGGAGAUUACUAGUUUAUUAAUUAGUGUUCAAACCAACAAACAGAACUAGGAAACAAUAAAAUGAAACUAAGAAAUCUGAAAUUUGAGCUUAAAAAUUGUCGGUGACCAGUAAAAAAUGUGAUGUGGCAGCCACGUAUUGGUUGCGGCUGUUAUCAAAUUUUAUUUUCUAAUUCAAGUCUUGGUCCAAUUGUAAUUUGAAAUUGGUGGGAAUUGGUUAAGGAGAGAAAACAAGUCUUGAAAUCCUAUUUCAAAUUCAAAAAGCAAGACUUGACUUUUCUCCUCAAGACAUGGUCCUUAAAUCAUGGAAGGUUGUUGAAAAAGUGGUUGUUAAAGUCCUUGAGUGGUUGGAAUUGGUUGUAAAAGUCUUGAGAGGUCUUAAAUUUUGGAAACAUGUCUUUCAAGACUAACAAAAUACACACUCUCUUUCUUCAACUUUCAAGAUCAAACAUCCACUUUUUCAUGAACUAUAGAUGAAGAUGUGAAGAACACUAAUAACACAUUUUUUUGAAUCUUGAAGUUCUAAGGUUCAAGUUGGACCCCAAACAUCAACAAUAUCUUUCCAAGCUUAAAAAUACAACACAAUAACCACCAUACACAUUCAAACCUUGAACCAAAAACAAACCACACAUCCAAUCUUUGAAUCCGUAACAACAAUACCAACAACAAUCACACGGCCAAAGUUUAGGUUCACAACAACAACAACAACAAUUAAAGCUCAAAACUAGAUCUAGAUUUCUUUAGUGUUAAGAGGUGAAGAAGCUAACACUAGAAACAACAAAACAAAUAAAAUGACUCCUAUAUCUAGACUCAAAACAAGAAAAAUCUAGGUCAAGACACAACAAGAACAUAAUUUCGGCCAAGACAAAAGAAUGGACAGAUUUGCUUCUUUUUGAAAUUUUCAGAUUUCAACUUUUUUUUUUUUUGAAUUUUUUAACAAGAAAGCCCAAGAUUGAUCUUACACGAACAAGAUCUAGCCAUGCUCUGAUAUCAAGUGAUACGAGAAAGAAAACGGAAGACACAAAACACACUCCAAAUCAGUCCACUAAUCUUAAGGAUUCGAGGACCAAGAUGGAAACCACACUCAGAUUCGCUACCAACAAUAAGAAUACAAGAUACAAGGGUGUAUUUCAACACCAAAACAGCUAUAAAAUGUGAUGAACAAUAUCAACAACAAUAACACAAGUUUCGGAUUCAAUAAAUGACCCAAAACAGUCCACUACACAAGAUAACAACAACAAAAGUAAAGGAUAGAUAGUGAGACCAAGAUUAUUACAAGAUUAAGAACUAAAGAGUGUAUGAAAAUCAAAAAACCCUAAUGAAUGUAAUAAUCAAAACCACACUCUUACGGUGACCGCCAAGGGAAUCAACUCACCUCAAGAUCCACCGUUUCCAAGCAAAGAUCAAUACUAGCUUUUUCAAGCCCUAACUAAGAACUAUACUAAGGUGUUGCACUCUCCAAAGAGAGAAUAAGUCUCUCAAAUGUUCAUCAUUCAUUAACUAAUGAGAGAAGACCAAAAAAAAAUCCUAAUUCUAGUAUAUUACAAAAGAAUGCAAAAAAGACUACACUACCCUUAAUGACCAAGGGUGGCCUUGGUGUGUUGGAAAACAAUAUGAAUUGUCCAAAAUGCCCUUAAGGCUAAGUGACCAAAAAGCCCUUAAUAAAGGGCGCCAAAACCGUGAACCAACAAAGGUGGUCCAAACCCAAGAGUCCUUAAGUCUUCAAGGCUCCAAGCAAUCUUCCACACUCGGGUUUGAUCAAUGGUAGGCUCAAAACGUCCCCUCCAAGUAUGAUCCCAUGGUGAUCAAAGCUUGAUUCUUCACAUAGUUACUGUGAAUGAUGUCGUCGAAAGCUAAGGCGGCCAUUAUUCUUGUAUCAAGACAUGCCCCAGUUUUUAUAUGAAACAUUUUCUUUACCCCUAAUCCUAGGGAACUUUUCAUAGUAUCUUCUGUACCCUUCAUUUUCCCAAUUAUUUUCUCUAGCUCUUCAGGCACGCUAGGCUUCUUGUUAAGAAAUUUUGGUGGCCCAAUUAACUUAAAUGUAGGCUUAAGAGUAUAACAAUGAUCACCAAGAGUAUCGAGCAUGGAUCCACCAACAGCAUAGGCAAGUACAACUAUUUGGCAGCUAGCCAAUGUGGUUGUCUCAGCAGAGGAUUGAGCAACAAAAUCACAGACGACAUGUGGUGUUGUGAAUAUAGUUGGCUUAUGCUGAGUUUCUAGAGAAAGAGUGGUGAAAGUAUGGGAAUGCUUUUGGCUUUGAUUGAAUUCUGAGUCAUGUUGCAGUGCAUCAACAAUAGUAGAAAACUAACUUUGCAAUUUUGGUGGAAGACUCAAGGUAUUUGUAGGAUCAAUAGUGGAGCAUGGAGGAGGAGGCAGCCCACUAGCCCAAGAUCGAUACAUUUCCAUCAUUUGUUGUCUUAGUCUCAAAUUUUCUUCCUUUAAACUCUCAAUUUCUUGACUCUUUGUUUGAUCCAUGAGGUCACUCUCUAUAUUUUUGUUGGAUACAGUUAAACCUUCCUUAGAUUUGGUGUGAUAUAGAGGACCAGCUACAAUAUUACAAUGCCACAAACCAACCACCUUAAACUAACUGAACAAGAGACAAUAAACGUGUUAGCGUGCAACACUUUUUCAAAACUCUUUUUUUGCUUUUCUUUUGAAAAGAUCACUGAACCCAAGAAGGGCGCCUACGUAUCUCACUCCCGAGAGAGGACAAUCAAGUGUGCGUAGUUCGUGAAGUUUAGCCAAAAUGACCAAUUAAACUCUUUUUCUUUCUUUUUCUUUUUCUUUAAACUUUAAAAAGAAAAUAAAAUAACAAAUUGUCAAAAGAAUUGAUGAAAAUCUUUGUGCAUUUUACAGGUUUAAACUCUCUAUACAAAAUGAAACAUAUGAUUACCAAAGAAAAAUCUUUUAGGGUUUUUGAUGUUGAAUUUCAUAGGAAAAUGAAACUGAAACUAUUAGAACAAAAAACUUUUUUGUAGUUUUCUUUUAAAGAUAUAUAUAAACACCUGCUCUAAUAAAGAGUGAAGAAAAUCUUUUGGGAUGUUUUUUAAAUAAGAUCCCCGAACCAACAAUAGGCUGCCUAUGUAUCUCUCCCGAGAGAGGAGAAUCAGGGGUGCAUAGUUCGUCCAGAUUGGACGAUUAAAGAUAUUGAUGAACCAUCACUUGAGGGACACGACAAAGGCAAACGAUGAAAAACGUCAAUAAAAUCCUUUUUAAGUUUUGAAUUUGACACUCAACAUAAAAAUGACACCAACUAUACGAGAAAAAUCUUUUUGCUAUUUUCAUUAUAUGAAAUGUACAAAACUUCUACCAUUUUUUUUUGAAUUUUUCUUUUAUAAAAACUCUUAUGAAUGAAAAUGUUUUUGAAAUUUUUGAAUUAUGAAUACUUACUAAAGGAACAAAAGGGAAAUGUUUUUGAUGUUUUUUUUUAUUUUGAGAAGAUGAGUGCAAAUGGUAAUUGUUUUUUUUGAAUUUUUGGGUUGUGAAGAACAAAAGCCAUAAAGAACGCUAAAAAUAAACUACGAAACUCUUUUUUGAUUCAUUCUCCUCGUUUUUUUUUGAAUUUUCAUUACCUACACACUUUACUUCUAAUACAUGCUUUCCCCCAAAUCCAUCCGUCAAAUGACCACGUUACCCUCAAAUAUGCAACAUUUAGCACAUAGGGAUACUUUAGAGGUGAGCCUCCUACAAAGGACCAAGUGGGUCCUGCUAGGUCUCAAUAUGAUGCACAUAAGCACGCCCUAAAGUCUAACCUACGUUGGAUUUCACUAACAAGGCUGUUCGGGGGAGCGUAUAGUCGAUAGGGGCUGCGAGAGCUUUCCACCCACCCUAUAAAACCGAUGGUUCCCCAUCCUAAAAGAAGGGUGAAUCAACUAGAGGUCGUUUAUAAUACGUGUACUACAAACUUGUUGCAGAAAGACUGACUCGGGUUAUGCACAUGAUGCCGAUAUAAAGUGGUAACACAUAAGAUAAAAACUGUAAAUAAAGAGCAUGUAAGCACUCAACAAUGAGAAACAAUAACACAAAACAACACAAACAAUGUUUGUACACCCAUAAUGUCAAACAAAGUCGAUACAACUCCAAAAAUUAGCUUGAAUUAUGAAAAGUCCCCUGCGGAGUCGCCAAAGCUAUCACACCCCUUUUUAACUAAAAAGAUUCAGAUUUUAAGUUCGAAAAAUAUUUUUAUUAUUAAGGUGACAAAAGAUUUAAAAAUUUUUUUGAAAAGAAAUUAUUUUCAUUUUUUAUUCAGAGUCGCCACUUGGCACAAUCCGGUGUGCCAAGUCACCUUUGGAAAGUCCUUUUCAAAAUAGUUUGACUCUUUAAAAUUGGUUUACGAAUAGAGAUUCUGAUUAAGGGAUUCUGUUGACCUCGAUCUUGUGGUUCUACCGCGAUCUCUUGGUGGAGCGUAUCGGCUAAAUUGACUUCACAAAUAUAUAAACCCACACAAAACAUGUACAAACAAUCAAUCAAACUCACGAAACAAACAAAUCCAAAAUACAAUGUUCAGUCCAAUUAUAUGAAAUAAAAAAUUACGAAAAAUAAAUCCUAUUCUAACCUACACUAAUCCUAACUAUGCUCCCAUGCUUUACCCGAUACCUCGGGUCUUCAUCAUGAAUGUCUUUCACCAAUAUAAUUCGUCAGGGAAUGUUCAAUAAAUACAAUGUGUCUCGGAACAUUCCCCGGCUAAAUGAAUACAUUUGAAUUAAAUACGGUAAACUAGAAAGAAACAUUCAACACAUUUAUCAUUUCACGCAUUCACUCAAACAUCAUUCCUAAGUUUGUCUACCCGAACCUACAUUUGCCUAUCUGAUUCAAUGCAUCAUAACACUAUCGAAUUCACAAACUUAAUUCCGAAUUAACCAUAACAAUAACAAACUAACAUUAAUCUAACUUCACCCUUUUUAUCAAUCACGCAAUUCCACCCCCCAACUUCUUUUUAUCAAUCACCAUUAAAACAUGAUCAAAUUCAUCCCUGAAACCAGAGUACUCCCUCAAACCACCGAAGUCGAAUCACUAAACGUCAUGAUCGUAACAUCAACAACAUCAAACAAUCAUAAUCACCUAACAUACAAUCAUGGACAUUUCAACUAAUUGAAAUAAAGAAGAAAGAACGGGUUAAAGAAAUGGACCUUAAUAUCGCCUUUGAUGUAUAUUAUUCGACGAAAUAAAGAAAACCCACCUUCGAUAACUUUGACUUAAGCCUCAAUGACGAAUUUGUCCAACUUGGAACUGUGUAUCGCAAGAACACAGGGAGACCCGACCCGAUUCUGAUGAACCCACCCAACCUCGAGCUAGAGAUCGUGAGAAUAUGAGAAUCCGAGCUGGAUUUUGAUGGGUUCGGACAAAAUUGAAGACAGAUCAAGGUUCGCCAGACUUCUUUAUGUCAUCGUGACUCCGAUUGACUUCAGCGAUGACAGAAGACAAUAAAGAAAUACCAGAUGUGAUAUAUUCCGAUGGAUUCGACCAGAUUUGCGACAACUUUGUUGCGUUUCCGGCGAGUCUGUCACCAGAACAGUAACCCACCCGUGAAAUCUGUGUUCUUUCCCUCGAUCUAAGCCUUUUUGGUGUGUGCAUGCGAUUUAGUGUGUGGAUAUGGUUUUCCGAUGGAAGAGGGUCCAUUUUCCGAUCACUGUGUGUGUGAAUAUGUGUGCGUAUUAAUUGGUGGUGAAGACCCCUAUGUGUGCGUAUUUAGUGCAUUGGAGCUAUGCAUCUGUGCGUGAAAUUGAGUGGAAAAAAUUUUGUUCUCUAAUGGUGUGUGUAUGGUUCUGUGAGAUGUAUGGCAGUGACCAUAAAUGAGUGUGUGCAAAUGGUGUGUAAUAUAUUUUUCUUGAUGGAAAAUGGAAGUUCUGCCAAAUAUUCCCUGUGGCCCCCCUCCCCCAGUGUAUUGUGCUGGUGUAUUCCCAUAGGGUCAUUUGGUUUGAAAACAAG
rnacentral:lncRNA from 1 species